UGCAGAAUCCGCCGCCGCCGUCGCCGCCGCCGCCGCCGCCACUGCAGAAUCCGCCGCCGCCGCCGUCGUCGCCGCCGCUGCAGAAUCCUUCUGCGUCGCCUCCACCGUCUUGUUGCUCCCGCCUCACCCCUCUCCUCUCCCUCCAAACCCUAACCGUGCCCGCCUCCCUACCCCCCGCCGUAGUCUCCUUCGCCGUCGGGAGCUCAGCCCGGGAUGGCUGCCAGGGUUCCUCGCGGGCUUCCUCCUCGGCCUUCUCGCGCUCGCGGAGGCCGAGGCGGCCGCGCUGCUCUGGGUCGCCCGCCGCCUCCACCGCCGGCUGCUUUGGAGAUGGUGAAUGCGACAGUCAGGCGUUGAGGAGGGCGUGUACCAGAGCCCGGUCGUCGGAGGCGCGUGCAGGUUUGUGAUUGAGGGUACCCGCGAGCCGGCGACUAAAGGCAGAGGGCGCGCCAUGUGUUGUGGCUGAUCUGUGUGUGUGUGUCGUGUUCUGCUUGUGCGUGUGUGGUGUGGACAGCGUGGUGCGUGCUAUGUUCUGCUCUCCUCCAGCAUGUGUGCAACGAUCUGUUCCGGCCAACCGUGGAUGGUAUUUGUGUUUUUGGCCUGGUUAUAGACGAUGCAUCUAUGUUUUGGGAGUUUAUACAAACCAUAGAUGAUCUAACUUGUUGUGAUAUUUUUUAGGAGUGUUGUGAUUUCUAAAUAAUGCACUUUUGGGAGUUCCACAUCAUGAUACGUAUAUCAACUGUGAUCAGUCAUGUGAGGCUGCCCAACGGAAAGAUGUGUGUGUUGCUUCUCCUGUUCCUAUUUUUCUACAAUUUUUUUGGGUCUUCUUAAUUAAGAUAUAUGUUUCAGUAGCAAACGAGAUCAUCUUGCCUGUGUUGCAGCUGAUAAGAAAGAAGAUAGAGCUUCAGGUGAACCGUGUCGUCCCUAGGAAUUUGUUGGCCUCGAGGAUUGUUCCAGUAAGUACUUCUGAUGACAACAUGAUGUUGGGCCUCAGGGACAUGGUCUCAAACUUGUGUAAGUAACCAACAGAAAUAUAUUGAAGCACAUUGCUAUCAUCAACUCAUCGUCCACUCGUGCCUGCCGGGUCACGCUCUGCAGCAACGGCGCACGCCGCCAGCACCAUAUAAUAGCUAUGGUAGGUGACUAUGGGAAAGAAGCAGGGGUGUCGGGAUCAUCAUUGAUGGGGUCGUCGGGGAGAAGAUGGGGGCUGAGAAGACAUGAACGGGCUAUAAUUGGCUGUGAGAAGUAGAACGAGAGAGAUAGCGAUGAUGUGGUGCUGCACCAUUGCUCUCCUACUACUAGCUGAAUUUUGGUAUUGUUGCUGCUAUCUGAAUUUCGCAUACACACAGCGAGGUGUUUGAUGUUGACCGACCUUGCGCCUGUUGCGAGGGGGAUUUCGUCGCUUGGAGAUCUCCUGGGAGAGGUGCUGCCUGCCGAGGUAACAAUCAUCCCUCUCCAUGUGCUCGACACUCUGUGCCCGACCCCCAACCUCCCUGGAUCCCGGCGCACCCCUCCCACACACUCCCGACCUCCUCCCGGCGCACAUGCCACCGCCCCUGCUCCUCCCUCCUCCAGGUUCAUAUGAAGCAACAACACACCAGGUUCCUGUUUACAAGCCGGAACCUGGAGAAUCCGGAGAAGGAGAGGGAAGCGGGAGGCGGUGGCGCACAAGGUGCGAAGAUGCCCAAGGCCGGCAGGCCGCGCACGAGGGGGAAUCCGGAUCCGGAGACGCAAAGGGAAGCCAAGAAGAGAAGCCUGGCAGCAGAGGAGGCCUCUCCCGGCGCACUCCAUGAUCGGGCUUCAGCCAUGUUUGCAGCCUUUGAGCGCGGCGAUGCACCUCAAUCCGAAGCAAAACCAGAUCGUGUCUACGAUGUGACUGAGUCCGUGACGGAGGAAUCCACUUGUCCACCCAUUCCUCUGCUCCACGAACCCUACAUCCCUGACGAGCUAGCUUCCCAUCCGGGCGCGCACCACGCCUUCUAGCUUGCCCCAGCCAAAUACAAUGCAUCGUCGUUCUGGAUCGAGUGUGGAAGAAGAGGUGGUGCCAAGGAGAAGAGUGAUGUGCCAAUGACGCAGCUCCGUGCGUUGUGGCCAUGGAGGGGAGGCCCGGGAGCAGGUGAUGCUGGCAGGUAGAUGAAGGAGGCAGGUGGUGGAGGACGAGCUCUUCGCCGGAACCGCAUGUACGACUGUGUGGAAGCCGCAAUCAGUGUCAAAGUCAGAAAGCAUGGGUUUUGGCCUGGUUGCCGAGGUUUAUUCACUGCCAGCACAGCUAGUUUCGAAGACAUGGAGAUCCCGUUGCUUGCUUUUGAAGGAGAUAGGUUGCCAGUUGAUGGUGGUGGAAGGCUUGAGCUUUCACGCCGUGUGGUCUGCGUCGAGCUUCGGCAGCCCGAAGGUAAGCUCUUGUUUUCGGCAAAGGCACUGCGUGGCGGUGAUGAGAAAGACGUGAGGAGAGUUCGUAAAACUUUCACUCCAAAGAAGGUUGGUAAGACCAAGGAGAAUAUCAAGAUUGGUUCCUGUGAGAUGGAGGUCACUGUCACAUGGUCCCUUCUUCCAAAUUGUAAGUAUGAUUAUGACAGUGCUUUGAGAAAGUAUUAUUAAGUUUGACUUCUGUGAGGUGAAGGUUUUCACUGUGAACCUUAAAAAAAAAGAUUCUGACUGUGAUGUGAUCUCUUCUGUAGGCAUCAAGUAGUAUGACUGACUAAUAAAAAGCCUUCAUAAUAUGAAGUGCAAACCGUGUAAAAUUUGCAAGGUCAUAACUAGAAUAUGAGUUAGUUCUCUUCUGUGA